UACGUAGGGUGCGAGCGUUAAUCGGAAUUACUGGGCGUAAAGCGUGCGCAGGCGGUCUGUUAAGACCGAUGUGAAAUCCCCGGGCUUAACCUGGGAACUGCAUUGGUGACUGGCAGGCUUUGAGUGUGGCAGAGGGAGGUAGAAUUCCACGUGUAGCAGUGAAAUGCGUAGAGAUGUGGAGGAAGUACCGAUGGCGAAGGCAGCCUCCUGGGCCAACCACUGACGCUCAGUGCACGAAAGCGUGGGGAGCAAACAGG
rnacentral:rRNA from 1 species